rnacentral:rRNA from 1 species
GAGUUUGAUCCUGGCUCAGGAUGAACGCUGGCGGCGUGCCUAAUACAUGCAAGUCGAGCGAACAGAUAAGGAGCUUGCUCCUUUGACGUUAGCGGCGGACGGGUGAGUAACACGUGGGUAACCUACCUAUAAGACUGGGAUAACUUCGGGAAACCGGAGCUAAUACCGGAUAAUAUUUCGAACCGCAUGGUUCGAUAGUGAAAGAUGGUUUUGCUAUCACUUAUAGAUGGACCCGCGCCGUAUUAGCUAGUUGGUAAGGUAACGGCUUACCAAGGCGACGAUACGUAGCCGACCUGAGAGGGUGAUCGGCCACACUGGAACUGAGACACGGUCCAGACUCCUACGGGAGGCAGCAGUAGGGAAUCUUCCGCAAUGGGCGAAAGCCUGACGGAGCAACGCCGCGUGAGUGAUGAAGGUCUUCGGAUCGUAAAACUCUGUUAUUAGGGAAGAACAUACGUGUAAGUAACUGUGCACGUCUUGACGGUACCUAAUCAGAAAGCCACGGCUAACUACGUGCCAGCAGCCGCGGUAAUACGUAGGUGGCAAGCGUUAUCCGGAAUUAUUGGGCGUAAAGCGCGCGUAGGCGGUUUUUUAAGUCUGAUGUGAAAGCCCACGGCUCAACCGUGGAGGGUCAUUGGAAACUGGAAAACUUGAGUGCAGAAGAGGAAAGUGGAAUUCCAUGUGUAGCGGUGAAAUGCGCAGAGAUAUGGAGGAACACCAGUGGCGAAGGCGACUUUCUGGUCUGUAACUGACGCUGAUGUGCGAAAGCGUGGGGAUCAAACAGGAUUAGAUACCCUGGUAGUCCACGCCGUAAACGAUGAGUGCUAAGUGUUAGGGGGUUUCCGCCCCUUAGUGCUGCAGCUAACGCAUUAAGCACUCCGCCUGGGGAGUACGACCGCAAGGUUGAAACU